rnacentral:tRNA from 1 species
GCCUUGGUAGCUCAGCCUGGUAGAGCGAACGCCUCGUAAGCGUUAGGUCGAGAGAUCGAGUCUCUCCCAAGGCU